UACGAAGGGGGCUAGCGUUGUUCGGAAUUACUGGGCGUAAAGCGCACGUAGGCGGGUUUUUAAGUAGGGGGGGAAAUCCCAGGGCUCAACCCUGGAACUGCCUUCUAGACUGCAAGCCUGGAGGUCAGGAGAGGCGAGUGGAAUACCGAGUGUAGAGGUGAAAUUCGUAGAUAUUCGGUGGAACACCAGUGGCGAAGGCGACUCGCUGGACUGAUACUGACGCUGAGGUGCGAAAGCGUGGGGAGCAAACAGG
rnacentral:rRNA from 1 species